AUGCACACACCAGAAAUGCAUACACACACAGACACAGGCUGUACAAGUGUAGGCACAUGGAAACAAAGAUGGCAAUGCAUAUAUAGUAUAUACUAUACAGUGGCAUAUGAGAGCUUGGGGGUGUAUAUACCAAAUGUCUGUAUAUACUAUAUAUGGCGAUUAAAUAAUGCAUAUGCAUUCAUGUUCUCUUUUUUUCUUUCUGUCUCUUCUGUCUUUCUGUGGAGCUGUUGCAAAACUACCAGAUUCAACCUCCUGGGGAGCCUUUCUGGCCAAGGAUGUGCUGUUUGUUGGAAGACAAGGAUGAGCAGUGCCUGGGUGCCGUAACCCAGUGCUCCGGGCAGGGCUUGUCUGGCACAUCUGGGGAAGUGACUCUAAAUGUUCUCGUGCUGAUCCUUCUCUGUGCAACACCUCACCCCUGCGAGGACGUGACUUGAGAACUGACAGCCUGUGCAGGAUGAGCUCCCCAUGUGCUGCCUGUGCCCCCCUUUCCUGGUGGGUGCAGGCAGAGCUGGGGGAGCUCUGGAGGACGAGGCAAUGCCCACGGCUGGGACUGCAGGCUGCCAGGGCUCUCCAUCUGGUGUUUCUCCAGGACCUGAGCAGAUUCAGUGACCACUGAUGCUAUCCAGGAUCCACAAAGGAUUUUCUCCUGCUCCAGGAACAGAGCCAUUAAGGGCUGACCUGUAAAUUAAUACAGCUGUCUAAAGAUUUUUUUUUUCUCUCCUCUAGCCUGCCACCUAGUAAACACUCCAGCCUGAGAAGCCUUCCAUGGCACUGGCCCUCAAGAGCGUUCAGAGAGCUCCAUGCCUGCCUUUCUUAAGCUUUUCUCAAUCUCUUUUAAUGCUCUGUUAAAUGCAAAGGACUUGUUUAGCUCCUGUGUAGGGAGGUUUCUGUUCCCAGCCCAUCCUUCAUCCUGGCUGUUGCUCUGAUCAGUCCAGGGCUGGCACUGCAUAGUUGGCAAAGGGAUUAGACCAGCACUGUGAUUUGAGUGCUUGGAGAGGGCUCAGAAUGCACUGAGUGAGGGCUGGGUGUAUGUGCCCCACGGCAGUAAGAGAAGCUGCCCCAGACAGCGUGGGACUGGCACAUGUGAGCGUGGAAGGGUGAAAGUUGCAAACUCUGCACGUCUUAUACUUUGUGUUUCUUUAGGCAAAGGUUUAGGAUCCCUGAAGUACUAAAUUGUGCCUGAAUGCUGAGAAAGUAGUGUUAUUGUGGUGUGCAGGCACAGAAAUUAGGGCACUGUGUAGCAGAUUAGGGAAAAGUGCAAAUCUCAGUAUUUCAUGUGAUGGUUUGUGCUCAGCUCCUGGGGACAAGUGGCCUCGGGCACAGUGAUGCUGUUAAACCCAUCUCUCUUACUCCAAUAAAGUCAUACUUUUCUGAGCACAAAAUAUUUCUGCAUCAGUUGCUUAAAGGUAAACCAAGAGGUGUGGAUUAUUUAAUAAAAUUGAUCUGUGUUGCUAGUGUGUGACAUGAUCUCAACACGUAUCAUUACAUUAGAAAUUUCCAGAUGGCACCUCACCCAAUUGUACAGCUGCUCUUUCCUGGGAUCUGAGUGGAGUUCAGGCUUUUAAGAAAUGUCUGUUGUUAUUAGCUUUAUCAUACACGUUCUCCUGUACCAGCUGGUCACACAGCAGGAGGUCUCACUCACAGCUUAAUUCUUCAGUCAGCUCUGGGGGGGCUUUGCUCCUGUGAGUUAGGUGUUUGCAUUUGGGAUGAGACCUCCAAGUGAGAACAACUUGUUUGCCUCCAGUGAGUGUGUUGGUUCAAGGACUAAGGUGCCCAGGAGGAGGAAAGGAGUUGCUCCUGUUGCUUUACUGAUGUCCUCGAAUAGUUAACUGUGCUUACUGCUUGUCCUGGUGGGGGAGGACAAUGUUUUAAAUAAAUAUCUGGUUUCAAAAGCCUGGCUGCCUGUGGUGAAGAGGAAAAGAAUACUUGUGCUGUGCUGUCUCACACCCCUACAGCAAAAAUAUCAGAGGGACAAGUUCUGGUGAAGCUGCCUGUUUUUGGCAACCACUUCCCUCCUACAUCCUUGUUCUUCAGGUAAAUCUUUCUUCAACUCCAUCUGCUGUUCCCCUUUCUUCCCUGAAAAGUCAUUAACAUCCCUUGAAAUAAAGAAAAGGACAGGAGGAGGGAAUAAAUGGGUGUUAAGAAGUAGAAAACAAUCAAUUAAAUAGUACAUAGCAUGUAAUUUUGCUUGGAAACUUACCAUGAAAUUGAGGAACACUUUAACAACUAGUAAUUUAAAUUGCAUUUGAACACUGCUAAUGAGUUGUUUGCAUAGGAAUUUUGGUCAUUUCACAGCAGGUUGUUGUCUUUAGUACCCCUUCCUUCAGUUAAAAAAAAAAGGAUUAAAAAUUUCUUGAUGAGGAAGAUGCUGUAGUCAACUGGUCCAACUAUUGGUAGUAAAAGGUGGUACUGUGGAAAUCCUGCAAGGCCCUGUUAGAUUCAGAACCAUUUACAUCCUUAGUGUCAGCACUUCCAGUGUUGAAUACAUGGGAAUUUGAUACUUUUGAUCUAAAAAAGCUCGUUAUUUCUAAAAGGUCGGAAAAUAAUAUUAUCCCUAUUUCACUCACCAGCAUGAUAGAGUUGAAGAGGCUGAAGAAGUUUCUCUAGACUCCUGGGACUGGGAUUUGCAGCUAUGGGACUGACUCUCAGGAGUGAAUCUCUUGGCUCAGUCCUUAUCACCUCAGACAAAUCAAAACAGUGCUUUGGGAUCUGAUCCUGACUUGCUCCACUUUAAGAGGAACAACAGAGAGGUGCUGACUGGCUUUGCCUGUGGGGUAUUUGUAUUUAAAUUAUUAGUCUUGUUUUUCCAGUGUUUAAUGCUCUCCUCCACCACUAUUUUACUUCUAAAAUGCCAACUAUUUUCAGCAAAAGGCAAUAUCAGCCUAAUCAUGUUGCUGCUUCGCUGCUGGCUGUGCUGGGAACAGACUCUAUAGGAAGGCAAACGCGAGUUACUUGUCGCCUGUUGCUGAAUGAACAUCCCAUUUUCAGAGCAGGGUUUUUGCAAAUCCGUGGGUAUGCUUAGCAUAUGGAAGGGGGUUCCAGUAUCAAAACAAAUCUGGCCUCCUGUUUCUGAAUGUGUAGGUUGUUUCUUAGAAGAUGGAACCUUUAAAAUCUGUCCCUGCAAACAUGGCUGUUAAAUCCUGCUAUUUCUAGAGGUGUGAGGCAGCUGUCUGCACUGAGAUAAGCUAUAAAAAGGCAAUAUUUUCCAAACCCAGCUUUUUUAGCUAUACCUCCCAGACAGUUUGGCCAGC
ensembl:lncRNA